GACCUAAUGGCAAAAUUGGCAUCGCGUCCACUGCACUUUGUGAUGUACUCAUUAUGCGGAAGUCCCUCGUUCGAAUCGAGGUUAGGUUG